UCCGCUGAGGGGCCGGCUGUGUGAGCCAGGGAUCCGCGGGGCUGAGGGACGCUCAGGAGCGGCGAGGCUCGCGGCCCGAAGGUUUCUCUUGGGGGCGGGGGAAUUGUGUCCAUUUGCUUCUACUCACAAGUGAAAGAGAAAAACAAAAUACAAGGGGGAAUGUCGGGAUGGGCCGAUGGAAGAAACAUGACAUCUAGAGGCAGCAGACUUGUUUCAGAUUCAUGCCUUAUCAGUUCUUAGGUUUGUGUAUUGGGAGCAUCCCUUGCAAGAUGUCCGCACUAAGGAUCUGGCUAAUGCAAGCUUUGCUUAUUUUCCUCACUACUGAGUCUAUAGGUCAACUUGUGGAACCAUGUGGUUAUAUCUACCCUGAGUUUCCAGUUGUCCAGCGUGGCUCUAACUUCACUGCCACUUGUGUGCUAAAGGAGAAGUGUCUGCAGGUGUACUCCGUGAAUGCCACUUACAUCGUGUGGAAGACAAACCAUGUUGCCGUUCCUAAGGAGCAGGUCACAGUCAUCAACAGAACGGCAUCCAGUGUCACAUUCACAGACGUGGUCUUUCAGAACGUCCAGCUCACCUGCAAUAUCCUGUCAUUUGGACAGAUCGAGCAGAAUGUGUAUGGAAUCACCAUACUUUCAGGCUAUCCUCCAGAUAUACCUACAAAUUUGAGUUGCAUUGUGAAUGAGGGGAAGAACAUGCUGUGUCAGUGGGACCCAGGAAGGGAGACAUACCUUGAAACAAACUACACUUUG
rnacentral:lncRNA from 1 species